rnacentral:rRNA from 1 species
GAACGCUAGCUACAGGCUUAACACAUGCAAGUCGAGGGGCAGCAUGGUCUUAGCUUGCUAAGGCCGAUGGCGACCGGCGCACGGGUGAGUAACACGUAUCCAACCUGCCGUCUACUCUUGGACAGCCUUCUGAAAGGAAGAUUAAUACAAGAUGGCAUCAUGAGUCCGCAUGUUCACAUGAUUAAAGGUAUUCCGGUAGACGAUGGGGAUGCGUUCCAUUAGAUAGUAGGCGGGGUAACGGCCCACCUAGUCUUCGAUGGAUAGGGGUUCUGAGAGGAAGGUCCCCCACAUUGGAACUGAGACACGGUCCAAACUCCUACGGGAGGCAGCAGUGAGGAAUAUUGGUCAAUGGGCGAGAGCCUGAACCAGCCAAGUAGCGUGAAGGAUGACUGCCCUAUGGGUUGUAAACUUCUUUUAUAAAGGAAUAAAGUCGGGUAUGUAUACCCGUUUGCAUGUACUUUAUGAAUAAGGAUCGGCUAACUCCGUGCCAGCAGCCGCGGUAAUACGGAGGAUCCGAGCGUUAUCCGGAUUUAUUGGGUUUAAAGGGAGCGUAGAUGGAUGUUUAAGUCAGUUGUGAAAGUUUGCGGCUCAACCGUAAAAUUGCAGUUGAUACUGGAUAUCUUGAGUGCAGUUGAGGCAGGCGGAAUUCGUGGUGUAGCGGUGAAAUGCUUAGAUAUCACGAGGAACUCCGAUUGCGAAGGCAGCCUGCUAAGCUGCAACUGACAUUGAGGCUCGAAAGUGUGGGUAUCAAACAGGAUUAGAUACCCUGGUAGUCCACACGGUAAACGAUGAAUACUCGCUGUUUGCGAUAUACUGCAAGCGGCCAAGCGAAAGCGUUAAGUAUUCCACCUGGGGAGUACGCCGGCAACGGUGAAACUCAAAGGAAUUGACGGGGGCCCGCACAAGCGGAGGAACAUGUGGUUUAAUUCGAUGAUACGCGAGGAACCUUACCCGGGCUUAAAUUGCAGAUGAAUUACGGUGAAAGCCGUAAGCCGCAAGGCAUCUGUGAAGGUGCUGCAUGGUUGUCGUCAGCUCGUGCCGUGAGGUGUCGGCUUACGUGCCAUAACGAGCGCAACCCUUGUUGUCAGUUACUAACAGGUCAUGCUGAGGACUCUGACAAGACUGCCAUCGUAAGAUGUGAGGAAGGUGGGGAUGACGUCAAAUCAGCACGGCCCUUACGUCCGGGGCUACACACGUGUUACAAUGGGGGGUACAGAGGGCCGCUACCACGCGAGUGGAUGCCAAUCCCCAAAACCUCUCUCAGUUCGGACUGGAGUCUGCAACCCGACUCCACGAAGCUGGAUUCGCUAGUAAUCGCGCAUCAGCCACGGCGCGGUG